GGGUUGUGAGGUUAAGCGACUAAGCGUACACGGUGGAUGCCCUGGCAGUCAGAGGCGAUGAAGGACGUGCUAAUCUGCGAUAAGCGUCGGUAAGGUGAUAUGAACCGUUAUAACCGGCGAUUUCCGAAUGGGGAAACCCAGUGUGAUUCGUCACACUAUCAUUAACUGAAUCCAUAGGUUAAUGAGGCGAACCGGGGGAACUGAAACAUCUAAGUACCCCGAGGAAAAGAAAUCAACCGAGAUUCCCCCAGUAGCGGCGAGCGAACGGGGAGGAGCCCAGAGCCUGAAUCAGUGUGUGUGUUAGUGGAAGCGUCUGGAAAGGCGCGCGAUACAGGGUGACAGCCCCGUACACAAAAAUGCACAUACUGUGAGCUCGAUGAGUAGGGCGGGACACGUGGUAUCCUGUCUGAAUAUGGGGGGACCAUCCUCCAAGGCUAAAUACUCCUGACUGACCGAUAGUGAACCAGUACCGUGAGGGAAAGGCGAAAAGAACCCCGGCGAGGGGAGUGAAAAAGAACCUGAAACCGUGUACGUACAAGCAGUGGGAGCCUCUUUUAUGGGGUGACUGCGUACCUUUUGUAUAAUGGGUCAGCGACUUAUAUUCUGUAGCAAGGUUAACCGAAUAGGGGAGCCGAAGGGAAACCGAGUCUUAACCGGGCGUUAAGUUGCAGGGUAUAGACCCGAAACCCGGUGAUCUAGCCAUGGGCAGGUUGAAGGUUGGGUAACACUAACUGGAGGACCGAACCGACUAAUGUUGAAAAAUUAGCGGAUGACUUGUGGCUGGGGGUGAAAGGCCAAUCAAACCGGGAGAUAGCUGGUUCUCCCCGAAAGCUAUUUAGGUAGCGCCUCGUGAAUUCAUCUCCGGGGGUAGAGCACUGUUUCGGCAAGGGGGUCAUCCCGACUUACCAACCCGAUGCAAACUGCGAAUACCGGAGAAUGUUAUCACGGGAGACACACGGCGGGUGCUAACGUCCGUCGUGAAGAGGGAAACAACCCAGACCGCCAGCUAAGGUCCCAAAGUCAUGGUUAAGUGGGAAACGAUGUGGGAAGGCCCAGACAGCCAGGAUGUUGGCUUAGAAGCAGCCAUCAUUUAAAGAAAGCGUAAUAGCUCACUGGUCGAGUCGGCCUGCGCGGAAGAUGUAACGGGGCUAAACCAUGCACCGAAGCUGCGGCAGCGACACUGUGUGUUGUUGGGUAGGGGAGCGUUCUGUAAGCCUGUGAAGGUGUACUGUGAGGUAUGCUGGAGGUAUCAGAAGUGCGAAUGCUGACAUAAGUAACGAUAAAGCGGGUGAAAAGCCCGCUCGCCGGAAGACCAAGGGUUCCUGUCCAACGUUAAUCGGGGCAGGGUGAGUCGACCCCUAAGGCGAGGCUGAAAGGCGUAGUCGAUGGGAAACAGGUUAAUAUUCCUGUACUUGGUGUUACUGCGAAGGGGGGACGGAGAAGGCUAUGUUGGCCGGGCGACGGUUGUCCCGGUUUAAGCGUGUAGGCUGGUUUUCCAGGCAAAUCCGGAAAAUCAAGGCUGAGGCGUGAUGACGAGGCACUACGGUGCUGAAGCAACAAAUGCCCUGCUUCCAGGAAAAGCCUCUAAGCAUCAGGUAACAUCAAAUCGUACCCCAAACCGACACAGGUGGUCAGGUAGAGAAUACCAAGGCGCUUGAGAGAACUCGGGUGAAGGAACUAGGCAAAAUGGUGCCGUAACUUCGGGAGAAGGCACGCUGAUAUGUAGGUGAAGUCCCUCGCGGAUGGAGCUGAAAUCAGUCGAAGAUACCAGCUGGCUGCAACUGUUUAUUAAAAACACAGCACUGUGCAAACACGAAAGUGGACGUAUACGGUGUGACGCCUGCCCGGUGCCGGAAGGUUAAUUGAUGGGGUCAGCGCAAGCGAAGCUCUUGAUCGAAGCCCCGGUAAACGGCGGCCGUAACUAUAACGGUCCUAAGGUAGCGAAAUUCCUUGUCGGGUAAGUUCCGACCUGCACGAAUGGCGUAAUGAUGGCCAGGCUGUCUCCACCCGAGACUCAGUGAAAUUGAACUCGCUGUGAAAAUGCAGUGUACCCGCGGCAAGACGGAAAGACCCCGUGAACCUUUACUAUAGCUUGACACUGAACAUUGAGCCUUGAUGUGUAGGAUAGGUGGGAGGCUUUGAAGUGUGGACGCCAGUCUGCAUGGAGCCGACCUUGAAAUACCACCCUUUAAUGUUUGAUGUUCUAACGUGGACCCGUGAUCCGGGUUGCGGACAGUGUCUGGUGGGUAGUUUGACUGGGGCGGUCUCCUCCUAAAGAGUAACGGAGGAGCACGAAGGUUGGCUAAUCCUGGUCGGACAUCAGGAGGUUAGUGCAAUGGCAUAAGCCAGCUUGACUGCGAGCGUGACGGCGCGAGCAGGUGCGAAAGCAGGUCAUAGUGAUCCGGUGGUUCUGAAUGGAAGGGCCAUCGCUCAACGGAUAAAAGGUACUCCGGGGAUAACAGGCUGAUACCGCCCAAGAGUUCAUAUCGACGGCGGUGUUUGGCACCUCGAUGUCGGCUCAUCACAUCCUGGGGCUGAAGUAGGUCCCAAGGGUAUGGCUGUUCGCCAUUUAAAGUGGUACGCGAGCUGGGUUUAGAACGUCGUGAGACAGUUCGGUCCCUAUCUGCCGUGGGCGCUGGAGAACUGAGGGGGGCUGCUCCUAGUACGAGAGGACCGGAGUGGACGCAUCACUGGUGUUCGGGUUGUCAUGCCAAUGGCACUGCCCGGUAGCUAAAUGCGGAAGAGAUAAGUGCUGAAAGCAUCUAAGCACGAAACUUGCCCCGAGAUGAGUUCUCCCUGACCCUUUAAGGGUCCUGAAGGAACGUUGAAGACGACGACGUUGAUAGGCCGGGUGUGUAAGCGCAGCGAUGCGUUGAGCUAACCGGUACUAAUGAACCGUGAGGCUUAACCUUACAACGCCGAAGGUGUUU
rnacentral:rRNA from 1 species